rnacentral:tRNA from 3 species
GCGCUCGUAGCUUAAUGGAUAGAGCAUCUGACUACGGAUCAGAAGGUUGGAAGUUCGAGUCUUCCCGAGCGCGCCA